UCCGAGCACCCGCCAAGAUGGCUGAAGUGGAGCAGAAGAAGAAGCAGACCUUCCGCAAGUUCACCUAUCGUGGCGUGGACCUCGACCAGCUGCUGGACAUGUCCUAUGAGCAGCUGAUGCAGUUGUACAGUGCCCGCCAGAGACGGCGCCUGAACCGCGGCCUGCGGCGGAAGCAGCACUCCCUGCCCAAGCGCUUGAGAAAAGCCAAGAAGGAGGCACCGCCCAUGGAGAAGCGGGAGGUGGUGAAGACUCACCUGAGGGACAUGAUCAUUCUGCCUGAGAUGCUCAGCAGCAUGGUGGGCGUGUACAAUGGCAAGACCUUCAACCAGGUGGAGAUCAAACCAGAGAUGAUCGGACACUACCUGGGCGAGUUCUCCAUCACCUACAAGCCCGUGAAGCACGGCCGGCCCGGUAUUGGUGCCACCCACUCCUCCCGGUUCAUCCCCCUCAAGUAGCCGAGGCCAAUAAAGACUGGUGUUUUUGAAAAAAAAAAAAAAAAAAAAAAAAAA